GAUGAACGCUGGCGGCGUGCCUAAUACAUGCAAGUCGAGCGAACGGACGAGAAGCUUGCUUUUCUGAUGUUAGCGGCGGACGGGUGAGUAACACGUGGAUAACCUACCUAUAAGACUGGGAUAACUUCGGGAAACCGGAGCUAAUACCGGAUAAUAUUUUGAACCGCAUGGUUCAAAAAUGAAAGACGGUCUUGCUGUCACUUAUAGAUGGAUCCGCGCUGCAUUAGCUAGUUGGUAAGGUAACGGCUUACCAAGGCAACGAUGCAUAGCCGACCUGAGAGGGUGAUCGGCCACACUGGAACUGAGACACGGUCCAGACUCCUACGGGAGGCAGCAGUAGGGAAUCUUCCGCAAUGGGCGAAAGCCUGACGGAGCAACGCCGCGUGAGUGAUGAAGGUCUUCGGAUCGUAAAACUCUGUUAUUAGGGAAGAACAUAUGUGUAAGUAACUGUGCACAUCUUGACGGUACCUAAUCAGAAAGCCACGGCUAACUACGUG
rnacentral:rRNA from 1 species